AUGAGCUGCUUUUGUUUCUGUGCAAUAACUACAUUUUCCUUGAACUGUUUUCACUCGGGAAACCCAAUUUGAGACAGUAUUCGGCCGAAGUCACCGAGUGCCCCUGGCCGCUGGAGGCAGUUCCGGCUCCAGUCAUUGGAAACGGGUAACGGUGCAAUUUCAAACGUGGUCAGAGGCGUCUCCCUCCGUUUCGCUGCUGCUUGGAAGAUUGGGGCCCAUGUCCAAAUCGCGCAGAAGCUGAACCAUUGUUGUGUACCUCUCUCUGACCGGGGAACUUCGCUGGGUCACAGAUGUUACCAGACCUUCCAGCAACUUCUGUUGUUAUCUCAGAUUCCCAGCGCGUGCAGCACUGCGUCUCGCUUUCUGAAGACUACAACAACCCCGAGGCAGGAAUCGAAGUUUAAAUAAGGAACGGGAAGUGUCGGAGCGAAAAGGUUCCGAGAAUCAGUGAAUUUCGCUGAAUCCGAGUAAUUUAUUUCCGGUUCCACGGUACAGUUCACGGAAUAUCAUAAUUUUUAACAAUGCAGAAAAAAGCCUGUGUGAAGAUUUAAAUUGAUUUUUAUUCGAAUUAGACCCGCCUGUAUUUUCCAAAUAAAAUGCCGCCGAUCUGCUUGAACUUCACUUGCACACUUAAAGUUAACCACUUCACUAAUUUAGAGGUUGCUGACUACGAUGGGCGGGUAUCGAAACCGGGAAGUAACCAUGCUGACCACUACAGCACCAUCGUUGACUGGUCAGGAGGUUUGGACAUAUUUUUCCCGAUUUUAUUACUAAACCGUUCCCUAUUGGUAACUGGUAUAUUUUCAACCACCGUCAAAAGUUCAUGAUGCACAACACCCAAUAAUGAAUCACCUUGUCUUGGAGUGAAGUUUUGGCUGAUAACUGCAAUAGCUGAUGGUCUUCACAUAUGGCUGUUCCUGAAGCUCGCAUCAGUCAUUCAGUAGAGUUAAAUGAAAAGUGCAAUUAUUGUCCACAAAGUUCAGACGUCUCCACUCACCGAUUAAUGACACAUGUUCCAUAAUGUAACUCUUAUUCUGUCCGCCCCCUCACCAACCCCCUCCACAAAUCCACCCAUUAACUGAAAAAUAAUACAUUCCAUCGUGUGACACCUUUUCAAAAAGAACACGUUCUCGGGGCAAAGAGUGCAAACACGAAGGAAUUAAGAGGAAUCUGCCUGAAACACUGCUUUGACCUCAGCUAGAGUAUUGUACCCAUUUUUUGGUGCCUCCACUUAGGAAGGAUGUGAAGCCAUUGUAGAGGGUGUAGAAACACUGGGGAGAUAGGGAACGAGUGAGUUCGAGUAUCAGAAAGCAAUUAAUAUCUGUAAAGAAGUAGUGCUGGAGGAAUAAGCGGGACUGCACUUAAUGACUUACAUUCCAGAGUUUUCGAAGAGAUGGCUAUAGAGAUAAUGGAUUGUUGAUCAUCUUUCAAAAUUCGAUAGAUUCAGAAACGGUGCCUGCAGUUUGGAAGGUAGAACAUAUGAACUCACUAUUUAAGAAAGCAAGGAGAGAAAAAUAAAACACAGGGGACUACAGACCUGUUAGCUUUACAUCAAGCGGAGGUGAAAUGCUAGAAUCUGUAAUCAAGUCUGCGAUAACUCGUGUGAUUGGGCACAGUCAACAUGGGUUUAUGAGAGGGAAAUUAAGUUUCACAAAACUGAUAGCCCUUUCUGAGGAUAUAAUUAGCAGAAGAGAUAAGGGAGAAUCAGUGGAUGUGGAGGAUUAGGAUUUUCUGUAGGUUUUCAAUAAGAUGUGAGAUAGGAGGCUAGGGAGCAAGAUUAGAGUUCAUGGGAUUGGUGGAAAUAUACAGGCAUGGAUUGAGGAUUGGUAAAUGGACAUGAAACAGAGUGUAGGGAUAAACAGAUCAUUCCCAGGUUGACAGGCCUUGAUCAGUGGGGUACAGAAAGGAUCAAUGCUUGGGCCCCAGCCAUGCACGAAACACUAGGUUUGCAGCCUUGUUUUGUCCUUGACAAUUCCUCGGCAGUGGGAAGGGAACAGUGUUUGGAACAGGGACCAGACUUCCACCUUCCCAAUAGUUAAAGGGAGGAAAUUUUAGAUCAUGAAUUCCUGGAUACGAGAUAAACAGUCCGAUCAUUUAACCACCCUGGAGGAAUGGGGAAACUGGAUUCUAAGGUUGAGCUGGGCAUCAGCUCUUUACAUGUGAAAACAGUUGUGAUGUUUUUGGAUGAUGUUGGUGAGGGGCAGCAUGUAGAUGGGGAAAAGUGUGGGGGAAGGGUUAGAUCCUUAGGGUAUUCACUAUGUUUGUAACUGUUUCCAUGGUGUAGCUUGAUCUUAGAACACAAUUACACAGGUUGUCUUGAUGAAUAUUGCAAUCUAUAAAAAUAAUUCUCCCCUCUAGAUUCAUUGCUCCGAAUUUGUCAUGAUUUCCUUUUCAUUAAACCAUUAUGUUUGGCUAUGUCAGGUUUGCAUUUUUCUCUAUGAUUGCACCGCCAGUGUUUUCCACUCAGUUCCUUAUUUGACAUCCAAUGAUUUACAGCCUCUAUUAACCCCUUCAUUUUUUAAGGACUGCAUUGAGACUAAUUUGGUGAGUUUAAUUUUUUUCUGAUAAACUUCAAAUGUAAAUCAAAAA